rnacentral:rRNA from 1 species
UACGGGGGGAGCAAGCGUUGUUCGGAUUUACUGGGCGUAAAGGGCUCGUAGGUGGCCAACUAAGUCAGACGUGAAAUCCCUCGGCUUAACCGGGGAACUGCGUCUGAUACUGGAUGGCUUGAGUUCGGGAGAGGGAUGCGGAAUUCCAGGUGUAGCGGUGAAAUGCGUAGAUAUCGGGAGGAAUACCAGUGGCGAAGGCGGCUUUCUGGGCCUGUUCUGACGCUGAGGAGCGAAAGCGUGGGGAGCAAACCGG